rnacentral:lncRNA from 1 species
UCGUGUGAUUGGUAUUCUCAUCUUUAGUUCUUGAAAACAUUAUUUUGUACAUAUAUUACGAAGAUCUGUCCCGAAAAUUUUCGGGAAUAUACUCUUAAUUCUGGGGUUUACCCGUUUUCUUUGUCAAUUACAAGAAUGUAGAGCCGGCAGAUGAUUGUCUUCAACUUCCACCGAGGUCUGGACUGGCGUACAUUUUAUUCUUAAAAUGCUGCUGGUG